CGCCGCGAGGCGUCACCGCGAGCUGCGGCGGACCCGCCGGGCGGAGGGACGAGCCGGCCGCCGGCAGGGCGCCCUGGGGAGGGGUCGGGCGCGUGGGGGCGCGGAGGGGGCGUCCGGCGCCAGCCACCCGGCGGGCCUGGAGGAGGGGUGGACGGACGCAGUGCGAGCCUUGGCCCGCUUCUUCCAUUUUUCAGGGAACGCGGUGAGUGCGCCCUUCUCUGUGCGCGGUUCCGCCGGGGUGUCUGCGUGCAGCCCCGCAGCGCCCCCACCAGCGGGCCCCCUCCCUUCGAGCCCCCGCAGCCCCGGCCCUGAUCGGCGCCCCCGCGGCCCAUAAACGGAAGAGAGCAGGGACAGCCUUGGGGUCUGGCCUGUGGCCGGCAGAAGCCAGAAAUUCACUGAGCGCCCGUGUGCCCGCGGAGCCGCGCGCCCGCACCGGUGCCGGGCUCGGUCGGCGCUCGCGCGGACGUGGGGGGCAGGGGCGGGGGCCCGGCUGCCUUCAACGUCGCCUUGGGUUUUGUGAGAGGGUGCGUUUUCCCUUCCCGCGUGGAGGAGGCUGGCAGAGAUGUGAGCCCGGACUCCGCCGGGCUGGGGUCAGCGGGGCGUCGCCCCGGGUCCUGGUCCUCGCGGCACCUGCUGGCGGGAGCGGGAGCUCUGGCCGCGCUGGCGAGCGCGCCGCGGUGUCUGUUUGUGGCUGGACCCGCCUUUCCCUGUCGACUGACGAUGUCGAACAUUUUUUUUUCCCACGAGCUUCUUAACCACCCGUAUGGCUUCUCUGCUAAAAUGCGUAUGUUUUUAAAUGUAUUUUUCCCUAUUUUCUUUUUAUUGUGUUGUUUCCUUGUCAUUGAGCUUUGAGAGUCCUUUGUAUCAUCAUUGCCGCGACAUUAUCAAACAGGUGAUCUGCAAAGAUUUUUCUCCCCGUCUGUGGCUUGUCUUCUGUUUCCCUUGAGUGUCUUUCAAAGAGCGCAAGAUCCCAAAAAAAGGAAAUGAAGUAACAUAAAAGAGCGCAAGCUCCUGAGGUCGACGGAGUCCAAGUGACCCAUUUCUUCCUCCUGUGGUUUGUGCAUUUCACGUCUGUCACAUCUAAGAAAUCUUUGCCUAACUGAGCAGUGCAAACAUCUGGGUUUUCUUCUAGAGGUUUUGCAGCAGCUGUGUCUGCCGCUUGCCCCCCCCCCCCCCCGUAGCCGGGGUCCAGAACCACGUGACCCUCCUUCCUUCUGGCAGAUCCCUGGCCACCUUCAUCCCAUCACGUGGGCACCUCAUCCUCCCAGAGCCUCAGGAGAGGGGCAGCCUCAGGGCAGUGAGAUGUUGUGACAGAGAGCCCGCAGCCCUGUUACUUUAUUACGGCAUAUUGCUACAGCCAUUCAACUUUUAGUUACUGUUACUCUGUUUCAGCCACUGAUUUAGGAAUGAAACUUUAACAUAGGUCUGUGCAUGUAGGGUUCAGUACCAUCCGCGUCCACUGGGGGGUCUUGGGAUGUAUCCCCUGUGGAUGGGGGUGGGGGGAGUUACCGUAUUAGGUUUUACAUGUACCUCAGCGAUUGCAUUAGAGCUAACUUUUGUACGUGGUGGGGGAGGUAGAUCAAGGAGUAGUUUGGUUUUUGGUUCUGUGUUUUGUUGGCCUUUUUUGCACGUGGCUAUCUAGUUGUUCGAACACAUUUGUGGAAAAGAUGAACUCCCGUGUGGUUUUGCAGUGGAGUGCUCCCAGUGAGACACAGGCAGUGCACGGCUGUCCCCGGCACCCGGGAGGCUGGUGUUCCAGAAAACCGCAGCGAGCAGAUGGCCAGCGAUUUCUGCAGGCACCCAGUGUCCUCAACCAGGUUAUCCUUGGGUCCAGGGCCUGGACAGUCGCGCUGGGGGGUCCAGGUUGUUCGACCAGCAUCAGCUUUGCGUCCCAUGGGUCCCCUGGCCGGCCAGAGGGUGCCCUGGGAGGAAAGACAAAGCACCCUGCUCGGGAGGGUCAGGGUAGAAUACUGAAUAUCCGAAGAAGAUCUAUGCAGCCCCACCCCCACCCUUUCGUCCUGGUCAUUACCCGGGAGGGGAUCAAGCGGACGUGUGCCUGUCUGGGGGCAGCCCUGGUGCUCAGGCCGGAAGCGGGCACAGAGGUGGAGUCAGAAAUCCUCAUAAGCGAACCCUGGGGAAGGGUCAGCAACACCACGUGCUGGGGCGGCAGGACGCGUGGAGAGCCCGGCCACCUCAAGCCCCGGCCCGCCACGGGGCGUCCUUUGUGAUGAAAGAAACACCUUGCAGAUUGCAGGCGAAACCCACGGCCCCUCAGCUCCUUGGCUUGGAGAAGCAGCGCAGGGGUGAGGUCGGAGGCGAGAUGCAUAGCCUGAGGGAGGGUCCAAGUCUGAUGGAGUCAUUUGCCAGGAGCUAGGGUCGCCCACCCAGGCGGUGUCCGCCUACCCACCCCAUCGGUGAGCCAGCCCUGGGCAGGAGUCGGGUCUGGUGUGCGGUGACCAGGUCUGCGUCAGUGCGAAGUCCCGUGUGUUGCAUCCCAUCGGUGACACGGGGUGUCGCCGUGAUGGAUCCCCGUGGCAACGGCGGCCCGUGCCCGACUGGGAAGCGCCAGCUGCUUGGGCAGAUGAGUUUUGGUGGGUGGGGUGAGAGAGCAGGCGCCCGCCACGCGCGAGCACAAGAGGCCCCACAAGGUCAGCAGUUGUCAUUUAUUCCUGCAGUCCACAGCACCCAGAAGGGGCGUCAUUAAUCUGUAAUUUUGCAAAAGAGCAAAAAAACACCAGAACACCCUGCAAACCACAUUGGUUUCCUAGGGCAUAACUGCCUGCUGUAACAAAGUAUCACAGACGGGCCCGCUGAAGACAAAGGAAUCGAUCCGCCCACGGCUGUGGAGACCGGAAGUCUGAAACGGAGGCGAGGGAGGGGGCCAUCCCUGGGGAGGCUCUGGGGGAGGGUCCUUCCUGCUUCUCCCGCAUCCUUGGUGCUUCUUGGCCUGUGGCUGCAUCGCUGCCGUCUCUCCCCUGCAUUGUCACAUGGCGGCCGUCCCCCUGUGUGUCCCCUCUCUGUCUUUGCGUCUUCACACCUGGCCUUCAAAGACUCUAUUUCCAAAUAGGCCACAUUCUGAGGUUCCAAGUGGAUAUGAGUCUGGGGGGACACUAUCCAACUCACUACACAGACCGAGUAGUUACAUCGUCUACAUCACAGGCCCAAGAAUUCAUGAAGCAUAACAGGUUUCACCAAGGGACCCUGAAAUAAAAGUGGCUUAAUCAGGAGAAAAGUUUAUUUAUCUCUCACAUUGUGCUCAGAGGGUAAGCAUCCAAGGGCUGAGAACCCCUGUUGUCAGGAACUUAAACUCCUGCCUUCUGUGCUGCAGUCCUCAAGACAUGGUUUCUGUCUUGUGGUCAAAAAUGGCUGCCGCAGCUCCAGCCAUCACCUCCACACUCCAGCACGGAGGAAGAGCAAAGAAGUGAAAAGCACGCCUCUCCCUUUAAGGACCUGGAACUAAUCUAUCACUUAUGUUCAAGUGCCUGUAAACUUAGUCACAUGACCCUUUUUGCUGCAAAGAUGGCUGGGAAGUGUCGUCUUCCUCUGGAUAGUCACACGUCCGACUAAAAGUCCCGGAUGCUGCUACCCCGUAGUCUUGACCGACUAAAAGUCCCGGAUGCUGCUACCCCGUAGUCUUGAGCGCAAGUAUGUCACAGGGAAAAUGGCUCCCGGGAAGACUGCCCUUCCAGGGAUAACCCAUCCCACUGCCCUGGGACCCACUGACCUUUGGACUGAGGUCAGGGGCCACGUCGUCCCCUUCAGGUGGGUGUUCUGGGAGGGGGUGAGAAUGAGGAGCCCAGCACGUGGUGGGGACCCAGGCCAGGCCCGGGGAGGGUGAUGUCUGGGACCUCCAGGAUGAGGGACGGGGGCGGCCGGGCAGGAGUGCGGUUCCAGCAGAGGAACAGAGUAUGCAGAGGCCCAGAGGCCACGGACAGGUAUGAAACCGCAGCACCACAGCAGGUGUGAGGUUGGAGGUCUCAGCUGGCACGGGGUCCUGAGGGCCCUUGACGAGGGCUCUGGAUGUGGAACUUCAGCCCGGAGGGCCCAGGAUCACCGUGGACGGGGUGCAGACCACCGGCCGGGCAGCGGCUGGGAGCAGGGCCCGUCCAGGUGAUCCGGGGCGAUCUCCCCUCCAGAUCCUCAAGCGCCUCUGCCAAGAUCACAAAGGCCACACUCGGGUUCCAGGCGGACAUAACUGCCGCGUGGGGGCACCGCUCAACCCGCUACAACCACAGAAGCAAAUCGCAAAGCGCUCCGUGUACAAUGCUACCGUGUUUGUGACGAACAGACGGGCGUGCCUCCGUGUGCGUGGGCGGCGAGCCCGUGGUGUGCGUGCGGCCGCACGGGCAUAACGUGAAGGGGGCGCGAGGGAGGUAGGGAGUCCCGGCCCCUGGCUCGGGUGACUCUCUCCCAGCCCAGGGCGCAGCCAGAAGCCCAGGGCGGCGGCCUGGGUCCAGCUCUGUCCCGCAGGGGCACCGGCCUCCCGGCCUGACUCUGGCAGAGAGGGCCACCGGGAGCCCGCAGAGAACCACGUGGGCGCGACAGACCGACCCCGAAUCAGCGUGGCUGGCUGUCCCCACGGUGAUGAUUUUGGGGGUGCCACAGGGGGAUACUUUGGCAAACUUCCCUGGGAUUUUCUGGGACUUUUUUCAGGGGCGCGUGUGCAUGUGUGUGUGUAAACCUCCCGUGCGUAGCUAGCUCACCUUCGGCCGACUGUACCUGUGACCGCUUUUCAUAAAAGGGGGGACGCCUUACUGUGGCCCGAGUCCCGCCCCCAGCUCCACAGCCUGAGCUCUAACCCCCCAGGUGAUGCUGCUGGGAGGGGACUGGGGGUGAUGGGGUUAGUGCCCCCGGUUCUCCCCCCCGCCCCCCCGUCCCCCCCCCGUCCCCCCCCCCGUGUCCCCCCCAUCCCCCUCCCGUGUCCCCCCCCGUCCCCCCCCCCCCCGUGUCUCCCCCCCCCCCCCCCGUCUCCCCACCUCUCCCCACAGGUGCGCGCAUCCAGAGAAGGCGGCCGUCUGCAAGCCCGGGGAGUUCUCACCAGGAGCCAACCCUGACCUCCAGCGUCCUGGCUCCGGAACCCGGAGAAGCGAGCGCCUGUCGUGUCAGCCGCGAGUGCUGUUUGCACGCGCGCGUGUGGAUGGGAGUGCGGUUCAGCCCCCACCGCUGUUGUGUGCACCUGCAUGUCCCCCCCCCUCCCCCGCACUGCUCCCUGACCUGCUUCUCUCAGUAGAACCGGAGUCCUCAGUCCCAUUCUCGGGGACCCGCAGUUGGCAGUGAAGUCCGAAAUGCUGUGUGUUCGUUCUGAUGCUACAUCACAGACAUGGUCUAACCGUCGUGGUAAAGACAGGCUUCCCUUGGGCCCCAGAAAGACUGGUUUUCCCCAGCGCCUUGGACUUCCCGAGGGGCACCUCCGCGGCCCCUGUGUUCUGGGGCAGACCUCCUCCGGGACCCUGGGGCACGUGCUUCUCCGUUAGAACGGACCAAGCUCGGGUCUGAGAGCCCAGGGCCCCCGCGCCAUUUCCAGGGUGACGCAAUGUUCUGUUGCCUGAAGGGACCCUGAUUUAUGUAACCCGUUGCCUCCCGGUGGGUGUUUAGGGUUGUCUGACCUUUGUCCUUCCUGCGUCAAGGCUGGGUGGGUGGACUUCUGGCUGAAUCUGUGCCCCAUUCCUUAAUGAUUAACUUUCGGCCGGGUACCUGCAGGUCAAAGGCUUUAGCUGUUUUCCAUGAUAAAUGCUCGGCAGGGCCCCGCCUGGCCACCGCCAUGGGCCCCGAACUAUGAAAACUCCGAGGGUGCCAUCCUGGUGGGGGGGGGGGGGGUUAGCCCGCUGCUUCUCCUUCCGGGUGGCACGGUCCUCUGGGGCCAAGGACUGACCUUAUUCUGUGAGCCGCCCCUCGGCCCACCAUUCCUGCAGUCCCAGAAGGCACCUGCUCCUGCCUGCCUCGCACUUUGUGAACGCUGUCGCCUGCCAGGACUCCCAUGCAGCACCCCCCUCCCCGCCCAGGCAACCCCCUUUGGGUGGGUCCCACUGCACAGAGGCCCCCCUCCCUGUCUGACAGGUCACCGGGCCCCCUGAAUGCUGGGACUCCCCGUCAGACCCUGACCCCCACACCCGAUCCAUGUCGGGCUCUCCCCUGGACCCCCCACUCCCUGCACCCAGGGCCAAGUCUGCCUCUGCCUGGGACCUGGUGACCUCUGCAUCCCUGGAGAAGCUCCUACAAGACCAGC